rnacentral:rRNA from 1 species
GUCCACGCCGUAAACGAUGACGACUGGGUGUUGCGGGUAUUGACCCCCGCGGUGCCGAAGCUAACGCGUUAAGUCGUCCGCCUGGGAAGUACGGCCGCAAGGCUAAAACUCAAAGGAAUUGACGGGGCCCGCACAAGCGGUGGAGCAUGUGGUUUAAUUCGACGCAACGCGAAGAACCUUACCCGGGCUCGAAAAUGCAGGAAGUCUGCUGAAAGGCGGAUGUGCUCGCAAGAGAACCUGUAUCAGGUGCUGCAUGGCUGUCGU